GGGGGGGGGGCUGUUGAAAGCCUAUCUGGCCGUCUCUAUCAAAUACUUUUUAUCAUAGAGAUAAUCUGACAGAAACUAUUUGUGCCCACAGCGAGGUGGGGUAUAUCUGUGAAAAACGUAAUGAUUAAACACACAAAUGAACAGCCCACUGACUUACUGUCCUACUGCCAUACAACCCUACAUCUUUACUACUGCCUUACUGCUUUACUACUGCCCUAUUGUCCUACUGCCUUAAUAAUGUCCUAUUGCUUUACUACUCUCCUACUCCCUUACCGCCCUACUGCCUUACUGCCAGACAGCCUAUCCUACUACCUUACUGUCCUACAGCCUGUCCUACUACCCUACUGCAUGUCCUUCUAUCCUACAACCUGUUCUACUUCCCUACAGCUUGUCCUACUGCCUUACAACCUGGCCUACUACCCUACAGCCUAUCCUACUGCCCUACAGCCUGCCUUACUGUCCUACUGCCCUACAGCCUGUUCUACUGCCUUACUUUCCUACUGCUCUACAGCCUGCCUUUACUGUCCUACUGCCUUAUUUUCCUACUGCUCUACAGCCUGUCCUACUGCCUUACUUUCCUACUGCUCUACAGCCUGCCUUACUGUCCUACUGCCUGUCCUACUGCCCUACAGCCUGUCCUACUGCCUUACUUCCCUACAGCCUGGCCUACUUCCCUAA
rnacentral:lncRNA from 13 species